rnacentral:rRNA from 1 species
GAUGAACGCUGGCGGCGUGCCUAAUACAUGCAAGUCGAGCGAACGGACGAGAAGCUUGCUUCUCUGAUGUUAGCGGCGGACGGGUGAGUAACACGUGGAUAACCUACCUAUAAGACUGGGAUAACUUCGGGAAACCGGAGCUAAUACCGGAUAAUAUUUUGAACCGCAUGGUUCAAAAGUGAAAGACGGUCUUGCUGUCACUUAUAGAUGGAUCCGCGCUGCAUUAGCUAGUUGGUAAGGUAACGGCUUACCAAGGCAACGAUGCAUAGCCGACCUGAGAGGGGGAUCGGCCACACUGGAACUGAGACACGGACCAGACUCCUACGGGAGGCAGCAGUAGGGAAUCUUCCGCAAUGGGCGAAAGCCUGACGGAGCACGCCGCGUGAGUGAUGAAGGUCUUCGGAUCGUAAAACUCUGUUAUUAGGGAAGAACAUAUGUGUAAGUAACUGUGCACAUCUUGACGGUACCUAAUCAGAAAGCCACGGCUAACUACGUG